UGGAUUAUAGGCCUGACCUAGUGAUUAC
rnacentral:piRNA from 1 species